GUCACUGUUUAACAGAGACGCCGACAGAACGGCGAGGUUUAAACCCGAACCACAUGAAACGGCGUGACGCGUCCAGAGCAGGGGCUGAUGGGAGUUUUGGUUCCUCUGCUAGAAACCAGGUGGCCCUGGUCUGAUCUCACAGCUCGUCCUUGUUUGGCCUCAGCUGCAUCAGAGCGCCACUUCUCCCCAGGUUCACCAGAGGAAACACCACUGCACACAAUGCUUUUCCUCCCAGCUGCUGCUCUGUGCUGGCUGGGUUCAGCGCUGGCUGCCAUGGCAACACAGCUGGUUCAGGACCAGUUAUCACUUGUUGCUAAAGAAGGUAGCCCCGUCUCUUUAACGUGUUCAGCCUCAAACGGCUGUGAUAAAAAUCAGGUUUACUGGUAUCAAACCACAGAGAUCGAUCCGCUCAGAGUGAUUCUACGCAUCGACCUGACCAGUGGAUUUCCUAAUAAUCGGUACGGUCAUCCUCAGAAAAAUGAUUUCACGGCUUUCAGUGUAGGAAACGUCUGUAGUCUGAAGAUCCAAACAGUUAAGGAGGAACACAAAGGCUCAUAUUACUGCGCCUGCUGGUGGUUCCCACAGUGAGAAACGAUCUGAGCUGCCUGAACAAAAACCUGCAGAGGAGCAGAUGUUACACAGGAAGUAAACCACAGCCUCACCUUCAACCAGUUCACACCUCAGGGGGGGCAGUCCUGGUCCUGGACGGUCAGAGUCCUGCAGAGUCCAGUCUGUCUGGUCCAACAACCUGGAUCUCC